UACAGAGGGGGCAAGCGUUGUCCGGAUUUACUGGGCGUAAAGAGCGCGCAGGCGGUCGUGCAAGUCGCGUGUGAAAGCCCCCGGCUCAACUGGGGAGGGUCACGCGAUACUGUUCGACUCGAAGGCAGGAGAGGGAAGCGGAAUUCCCGGUGUAGUGGUGAAAUGCGUAGAUAUCGGGAGGAACACCAGUGGCGAAGGCGGCUUCCUGGCCUGUUCUUGACGCUGAGGCGCGAAAGCUAGGGUAGCAAACGGG
rnacentral:rRNA from 1 species